AUCUACGGCCAUAGAAUCCAGAAAGCACCGGGUCCCGUCUGCUCACCUAGACAUGCAUCUAACUCCCCGCAGUUAAGUUGGAUAUCGCUCGGUUAGUACCAAGGUGGGGGACCACUUGGGAAUCCCGGGUGCUGUAGUUU
rnacentral:rRNA from 1 species